rnacentral:rRNA from 1 species
UUGAAAGGGAAACGAUUGAAGUCAGUCGUACCUGCGGGUAAUCAGCCUUUUGGGUGUGAUUUUGUGGAGUGUGAGGAGUUAAACGCCUUCAUGCCUGCAUAUUCGUGCACUUUGGGUGUAUUUGCCCGUGUGGUAAGUUAACAUCAAUUUUGGUGGUCAUAAAAUGGCUGGAGGAAUGUAGCUUCGAUCUCGUAUUGAAGUGUUAUAGCCUUCGGUAGAUGUGAUAAUCGGGAUUGAGGAUUGCAACGGAUACCCCUCGGGGCUACCUGUCUGAUCUCUGAUCGUUGCUCUGGUGCCGAAAGCUUGCUUACGGAUAUCAAAGUCGAUGGUCAAUAGGUUAGAACGGGUUAAAUUCGUUAAGGAUGUUGACGUA